AUCGAUUGCGGCGAUUCGAACCUAGCGGUUUGUUAUGAUUUAAGACCAUUUAAGUGUUGGACUUUGACUGUGAGGUAUACGGCACGUCCUGUCACUUCUAUCGAUUGCGGCGAUUCGAACCAAUCAAGUAAGCCUACCGGUUUGUUGUUAUCGAACGUAUCGUUGACAAGUUCUACAAAUGAGUUAAGACGAUUUAAGGUUAGGUGGUAUUGUUUAUUGUUUGUAAACAACCGCGAGUCCGCCAAUCAUUUUUUUUCAUUCUCGCGUGCAUUUCGAACGUUAUAUAAGCUCUAGAUAAAAAUGACAAACGAAUAGUAUCGUACAGAAAUUCAUACGUAAAUUGUAUACGCUCUUGGCUAGUAAUUUUUAAUUUUUUAGGAGGGAUUGUUUGAAUUUGUUGGAACAAAAAUAAUAGCAUUGCCUUUAUAUUAGCGCAAAGAAAGACAUUGAUAAUUAUGAGUAUUUCUUAAUUUAUAACAAUUUACAAUUGAUAUAUUCUGAUGAACUUAAAUAGGUAUUAGAUUUUGUGUUCGUAGUAUAAGCAACUUAAACCAUUAAAUAAAUCUCCUAAAAAGUUCGGUUUAUUGUAUAUUUGACAGUUAUUGAAUAUCCUUACAUACAUCGAUACAUUUCUAUGGAUAGUUUUCAAAUUAGUAAAUACAUUCCAUAGAUUUAUUUAUCGGUAAAACUUAUAAUAAACAUCACCCAAGUGGCAAUAACAAGUAAGAGUGUUUAUGACAUUAAAUACUAAAAAUGUAAUAAAAAAAGUUGUAUUAUUGUUAAAAUAUUUAAAAUUUCUGAUUACAAAUCUUAGUAUUUUAUACGCCUGAUAUAAUGAAAUUAAUUCACAUAGUACAUAAAAACAUACUAAAAAGUCGAACUACGUUGUUGGCAUUCCACUUUUGUUGGAAUAGUGUAAAAAGGCAAUUAUUUUCAUGUGUUGCUUAGUGUGACAUGUUAAACAAGAAGUAAAUGGAAACAGAAGAUACCAGCAAUUAUUUUGCUUAAUAUUUCUUGACUCUUACAAUAGUAAUUUUAUUUUUUCUGUUACUUCAAAAUUAAAAAAUCGUUGAUAAUUUGUUUUAAUUAAAUUUGCACAUUGCACAUAGGAAAAUAAUUUAAGCCAACUAUCUAUUUGCUCAAUAAUACAUUUUUAUUAUUAAAACGCCCCAUUUGGUGUACAUAAUAUAAUGAGUAACGUUAAAAAACACAUCGUUAAGUUCUUCUAAAUCAAACUUUAUAAGUUCAAUAAUUUUAUCAAUAUUAAUUAAGUUAACACAGUCAAAGUCCAACACUAUAUUAAUAAAAUCCAAAGAGUUUACGGUUACAACAAAAUACUGGGAAAAAAUCGCCUAACCUUAAAUCGUCUUAAAUCAUAACAAACCGCUAGGUUCGAAUCGCCGCAAUCGAUAGAAUUGACAAGAAGUGCCGUAUACCUAGACGCUUGU